CAUGACUUCCUUACUAGGAGGGGAUUUUAUGUAGUGACAAUUUCUGAGUUUAUUUUUAGGAUAUCAAAGAAGCCUGAAAUACUUUUAUGUGAUACUGUGUAAAACAAAAAUCAAAAGCACUUUUAUGUGAUACUGUGUAAAAAAAAAGAAUCAAAAGCAAUUUGGAUAUUUUUAGUUGGACGCAAAGAAAUUUCCACCUGUUAUUAUUAAAGACAGUAUUUCCGGAACAGCAGGUGAAUUUCAAAAGAAAGCAUUCCCAAUACGUGUUGAACCCUAAGAGACACGGACUUAGUAAUAAUAUGUAAAUAAUGUUUUUCUUGGUUACGAAAAAUGACCAAUUAGAUCUCGCCCUGUAAGGGCGGUUUCGUGCGUUCUUAAUUAACGAUACGGGACUCUUGAAAAAAGCCCGGUUGCUGAUACUUCAGCAGAGUCGUCUGUGUUCAAUUUUGGUUACAUCUUUUUCUAUGGGGAUUUGAACCAAUAUCUCCCCCGAGACCGUCGGCUUAGCUCCCGACAGCGUACUUCACCGAUGCUGUUUGGGCUCGUCAUUUUGUAAAGGAGAAUUAAUGGACUCCUGGUUUAGCUGACUUUUUACUUCUUUUUCCUGAUGUUUAUCGGGUUCCACUGAGACCCUCACCAUAGACGAUUUUUUGUCCUACAUGACAUCGAUCGAGGAUCCAUCUAGACUGCUUUUCCACUCUCCGUUGUAUACGACAGGCCUAGCUACGUAUUCCACCAUUCCAAGUUCAGGUCGAACUCAAUUCGCCAAGUAGAUCGAACUGUCAACUUCUCAACGCUUUGGCCUAUUUUGGAGUUUAUAUCCUAUUUUAUUAAAUAAUUAAUUGCUCUGUUAUAAUUCCUUUGAAUAUACGACAUAACUUUAUUUACUGUCUUCAGAUAUUUGAUAUAUCAUACAGGCAUUUCUUUGAGUUGUAAACACUCUGUAAAUUUGUCAAAGAAAACAUUCGAAUCAUUUUAAUUAUAAAUCGAAGUCAUCGAACUAAUUAUUUUGUCAAGUGCUUAUUUUUCUUGAAUGAUCACGUUUAGCUAAAAAGUUGGGGUGUUUGAGUCGCCGUGCUUGUUGUUGCUUGUUUAGUUUUCCCCCUGUUUUUUCCUAGUCCCAUUGAUUGGUGUGUUUGAUUUGUCUUUGUUUUUAAAAAGAAACAUAA